AUCUGAAUAUGACACAAUACUGAGGAGACAAUACUACUCUCCAAAUAACAUCCUGACAUGGGAUUACAUCAUGAUCAGUCACAAAAAUAAUCUAAAAGAUGAUGGUAUCUCAUAAUUAAGAUAUGUAGUGAUGAACUAUUCUGUUUAAUAUGUUUAUUUGAUGGGAAUUUUUAGAAUGUCAUCCUACAAUAACAUUACAAUUAUUUUUUUUUUU